rnacentral:lncRNA from 1 species
UAUAUCUUUGACUGACUUUGCAUGAUUGAAUUAAUGAAUAGUUUUGUUUAUUUUCAAAUUAUAUGUUAGCUCAUAAAUAUGAUUCCAAUUACUGUAUGAUAUUUCCUAUGUACUGUCUUUUCAUCUCAUAUAUAGAAGAUGAUUAUUUGUUGUACUCUCAUGAAAAGUCUUCCUGCAUACUUCAUUUAUUUUUCUCAGACUUGUAAGCUUAUAUACUUAACGUUGCCAUAUUUAAGUGCCACCCUUCGGCGAAAUAGGCACCUUUUGUUUCUAGUUUGUAUUAUAUAACUGCGACCAAAAAGUUUUAAGGCAGAUCUAUGAAUAUUUGUUCAUAAAAUAAAGCAUUUUGGACCUUUCAGGAUAAUUAUGAAUGGUUUAUUGUUUUAGCCAUGACGACACUAGCAUAUUCUUUCUUCUCAAAAAUUAGCCACAGGAAAAUUGAUCCAUAUGCUAGAAUGACUUGUUUCAUCCAAUUAGCAUUGACAUCCUUAUCACCUAGGUGGUCUUACACGUGAGUCAACUGUCAUUGAUUAAGUUUUGAUUCUGUGAAGACUUGUUUGCCUCGUGUGCCACUUCGAAUUGCUCAUAAUGACUGGUAAAAUCUUUGCCUUGUGUAUGACUUGUACAUGAACAGUCAAAUGAUGAUGCGAUUAGUCAUCAGGCUGCUGCUAUGUUAUUUUUAGUUUGUAUCUGAAUUGGUAAAAAAAGAGAAGUAAAGAUAUCUGGUUAAGCUCUAUAUUCCUACAACAUGUCCUUCACUUAAACCUGAUAAAUUAGUCCCGAUGAAGAUGAUGCUCUGAUCAACUGAUUGUCUUUUGCCUGGCAAGCACAACAGAAAAUGGCAUGAUUGAAUGGUAAAGUAAAAGGAAAGCUCUAGCCUUUGUUACAGUCAGUGCUAGCAAUAUCAUAGUUUGAUUUUUGCCUGGAUACUGAGUUGCCAACUUCAUUGAACUGUUAGUUAGACAAUCUACAAUCUUUACAUUUUUACAACAUUAUUCUUGAUUUUUCUGUGUGUAACCUGCUGCAAGAUUCACACACGUUUCCUCGUGAAAGUGCAGGGAAGUUGUUGGAUUAAGUUUAGCUGUAUGAUAUAUUAUGGGUCUUAUGCAUUUUGCUUGUGCUCUCACAAUACUUAACUUUUCCCGUCUUAGGCAG